rnacentral:rRNA from 1 species
GACAUAGGUGACGAACGUUAUCCGGAAUUAUUGGGCGUAAAGGAUGCGUAGAUGGUUCGAUAAGUUACUAGUGGGAAAUCGAGGCCCAACCUCGUGGAAGCUGGUAAUACUGUCGAGCUUGAGUGCAGGAGAGGUUAACGGAACUUUAUGUGGAGCGGUAAAAUGCGUAGAUAUAUGAAAGAACACCGAUAUAGCGAAGGCAGUUAACUAUUCUGCUACUGACAUUGAGGCAUGAAAGCGUGGGGAUCAAAACGG